rnacentral:rRNA from 1 species
GAUGAACGCUGGCGGCGUGCUUAACACAUGCAAGUCGAACGAAGCACCUUGAUUUGAUUCUUCGGAUGAAGAUCUUGGUGACUGAGUGGCGGACGGGUGAGUAACGCGUGGGUAACCUGCCUCAUACAGGGGGAUAACAGUUAGAAAUGACUGCUAAUACCGCAUAAGACCACAGCACCGCAUGGUGCAGGGGUAAAAACUCCGGUGGUAUGAGAUGGACCCGCGUCUGAUUAGGUAGUUGGUGGGGUAACGGCCUACCAAGCCGACGAUCAGUAGCCGACCUGAGAGGGUGACCGGCCACAUUGGGACUGAGACACGGCCCAAACUCCUACGGGAGGCAGCAGUGGGGAAUAUUGCACAAUGGGGGAAACCCUGAUGCAGCGACGCCGCGUGAGCGAUGAAGUAUUUCGGUAUGUAAAGCUCUAUCAGCAGGGAAGAAAAUGACGGUACCUGACGAAGAAGCACCGGCUAAAUACGUG